AUUGAACGCUGGCGGCAUGCCUUACACAUGCAAGUCGAACGGCAGCACGGGGGGUAACCCCUGGUGGCGAGUGGCGAACGGGUGAGUAAUAUAUCGGAACGUGUCCUGUAGCGGGGGAUAACCUCUCGAAAGAUGGACUAAUCCCGCAUACCACCCACGGGUGAAAGCGGAGGCCCGCAAGGCUUCGCACUAUAGGAGCGGCCGAUAUCGGAUUGGCUAGUUGGGGGGGUAACGGCCCACCAAGGCCACGAUCCGUAGCGGGUCUGAGAGGACGAUCAGCCACACUGGAACUGAGAAACGGUCCAGACUCCUACGGGAGGCAGCAGUGGGGAAUUUUGGACAAUGGGGGCAAGCCUGAUCCAGCCAUGCCGCGUGAGUGAAGAAGGCCUUCGGGUGGUAAAGCUCUUUAGGCGGGGACGAAACGGUUCGUGCUAAUACCACGGACUACUGACGGUACCCGCAGAAGAAGCACCGGCUAACUACGUG
rnacentral:rRNA from 1 species